UCAGAGUAAUUGGGUCGUUAUGCCCCCACCACAGAUCCCACCAACACAAGCUUCUACUAACGGUCUCCCGUCAGCGGUGCUGGCCCGGUAUCUGAGGCAGUUUUAAAUUUCCUCUGAUGUACACUAUCAAUACAGUUUAUUAAUAUUAUCAACACAUU